UGCUAAAGAAUCAGUUCUCAUCAUUUUAACUGUAAAUUGGCUCCUUCGUAUGCUGUUGAUUGGUGCCAAAAUUCUCAUCUGAAAUGGUGAAGGUUUUGAUCUUGGAGGCAGGAAGUCUGACUUAAUUUUUUUUAUGGCCCCUCAUUUAUGUCUGUUAUUUGAUAAAAGUGCACACGCUGUAAACCAUACAAAUAAAUUAGAAAUUCAAAACAUUUUCCUAGUGAUGCUAGUUGAGUGCAACAGCACAAUUAGAAUCCAAUCAAAAGCCAAGGGAACGAAAAGCGAGAUUGAUUUAAACACUGUUUCACAGGAAAAAAACUAAAUAAGAAAGUGCGCUGGUUGUACAAAUCUGCGAUGGGGUGGCUACAACCAAUGGCAGGCCAAUUAGUUAACAUUAGUUUUGCUGGUAUGAGGUGAUUAUUGUAGGCUAAGAUUCUGAUCAGCUCAU
rnacentral:lncRNA from 1 species